rnacentral:lncRNA from 1 species
GAAUAGAAGUAGAAGUAGGAAAUAAACUAAUUAUUUGUGAAAGUGUAAUUAAGAGCAAAAAUCGCAUCUAGACUUGGAUAUAAAUCUAAUUUCAAACAAAUUAACUCCAUGUGGGUUCAAUCUCGACCUAGUUGGGCAAAACUGCGUCGACUAUCCUUGAUACUCAAUAGUAGUGCAGGCUUGGACCCGAUCAAUUUUUGGUGCCAUUGCUGGGGAGUUAGACAGUUUUAGCUAUAUACUUGAGUAUUUGUAUGUUUUGUUUUACUUUCC